AGGGCUAAAUUCUGCCAUAUUGGGAACAUUUGGUGCUACCUUAUAAUUCAAGAUCUCAAUACAUGCUCAGUUCAGGAUCUUCCCAUAUUUUUUAAUUAUCCAGCAUCCUGAGACUUCUGAAGAAGAACAUUUAAUUGGACAUUUUCACAGGCAACAGAGUGAGGAUCAAAAUGGUGAUUCCUGAAAAUGGAGCUAAGGUUUAUUACUGAGCAUAAGAGAGGCGAGUAACUGAAGGUGGCUGACAGAGAAAGUCAUGUUUUAAUAAGGACAAUUAGGGAAAACUCACAUUUAAGUAAACAAGGAUGAUUCUUGGAUAUAUUCUCAACCAAAGACAAAUCAUCAGCCUAUUUCCCCAGGUAGCUGCUUUGAUUAAAUGACAGCAGCUGAGGACAUUGCCUAUAGCUUAGCUUAGGGCUGGGUGAAAAGUCAGGACCCGGGGAUGGCUGGGUCUGGCAGUGCCCAGCACAUCUCAGCACCUGCCUCUUCACCAUGACUUUGAACAAGCAACCAUGGCCUCCAGCACAGCCAGAGAACAUGGGGAGAAAAAAAAAAAAAAAAGGAAGGAAAAAAAAAAAAAACUCCUCUCAAACCUUGACCAAAACUGUUCAAGUUUACAUUCUUUAACUUCUAAUAUUGGCACCGCUACUAAUGCUUUCACUCUGAGAGUGCUGCAUGCACAAAAAGAGAAAAUAAAGAAAAAAUGACAGAUGGAAAAAGUGUGCUUUAGCCACAGCUGUUUCCUCCUUCCUUCAAAAAAUGAAUUAAGUGCCUUAUAACCUAAGGGAGAAAAAAUGAUGGUUUUCUAAGUGAAAUAUGUCCUGUCAAAAUGUCGGCUAUAAAAAUGCAUAUUACUCAGUAAGAUAAUCUCUCAGAAUUAUUGCUUAAUGAUUUAGGAUUUGGGUUUUUCUUAACCAAUCAUUCUUAAUAUUUCCAUUACAGAGAAAAAAAAAAUAGUCAUUGGUGACAGAUUUUAUGAAAAGACAAAAAAAAAAAAUGUAGAAUAGAGUAAGGAAAACAGAGAAAAAAAAAAUAGGGAUUUCGCUCACAUGUGAUGGUGUGUCUAGUGUAGAUGGGAGGAAAAAAAAUGUAUAAUCAACUGCUCUGUUAAUUGAGGAGGAGAUUAGAGCACCUUCCCACCUGAAUCUCUGAGUAGAAGUUUCUGGCUGAGAUUCAUCCUCCCUAAUAUCAGAUAUUAGGUUUGUCUGUUAAGACAGAAAAAAGAGAGAUGCAGUGAAUUAUUUGUGUUUUAGGCAGACUGAAUGAUUCUUCAGGGAAGUUAAUUUCUUCCCAGCUACCUGAAACCCUAAAAAGACUGUUCUUAACACAAGUAUUGCACCUUGGUCACAGCAAUUAGGUGGGACAAUUGUAAUAUCAAAUGUUUUACAGAAAGGAGAAGAGAUCUAAAAGCAAAUCUGGUUUUAAGCAACACCUGAGCUUCAUCUACCCCAUUGCCACUUCAGAAAGCAUUCAUGGGGAGGGCUUAAAGCUGCUUUAUUGUACCUGGGGACAAGUAGUCAAUACAACCCAAAGAAUAACCAUUACUUCAAGAUCUGGUGAGGUUGUUAUGGGAUGCUCCACCUGAAGCUUUCUAAGUGACAGCAUCUGUAUUAAAGGCAAAAGAGUGGAAAGGACCCAGCUUCAUACUAACAGUGAUAUAAUGGCAUUGGUCAUCAGACAAAUAAAACUAUUUCGGUCUGAAAACUGAGUAGAGUUAAUAUGGAAACCAGUAGGAAAGAAUGGAUGGAGCCCUGGCUUUACAUUUCCUCAUGUUCCUGUUCCAUAAAUGUUCAUAUUUUAGCACACAAAUGUCUCUAUUUCCUUUUAUAAGGUAACUCAAAUGCAUAAAGCCAAGCAUAUUUGGAAAUGGUUGCCACACAUGGGUCUAAAACAAAAUUUAAAUAGUCCUUUAAGAAAUCUGCAACAGAAAAGUAAUUUGGAAUUGUAAACCAUUGCUGCUUGGAAUAGAAGACCCAUGUCAAAACAAAAUAAUCUGCUUAUCAAUCUUUAAUUGAGUUUUCGCAUGAGACAUGAGACAUCAGGUAUUAACAAAAAUAGACAGGUUUGAAAUAAGAAGCAGAUGGUCACCCAACAGUUCUUGUCUUGGAAAAUAAAUGAGAGGAAAGAAAAGCAAAUUGACUAGCACUGACGGUUUUAUAUACAGUAAUCUGGUCAGAGAUCUGGAAAUAGUUGACAAUUAAUUGAAAUAACACAUUGCAAAUUGUCACCGUAUGAUGAAAAAUCUUCAGGGGGAAAAAAAUGUUGUUUGGUCUGGAAAUUUGGAUUGUACUAAAGUCAUUGUAAGGAAAAAAUGUAACCCAACUCAACCCAAAUUUCCACAGAA